AAAAAGGCAAACCCUGAGUUUCCGUGUCCAACGUUUGACUGUCCAUCUUAUAUGAAUUUUUUUAUAAUUAGUAUUUUCAUUGUUGUUAUAUGAUAAAACAUGAUUAAUACUUUAUGUGUGACUUAUAUUUUUAAUUUUUUUCAUAAUUUUUUCAAAUAAGAUGGACGGUCAAACGUUAAACACGGAAACUCAGGGUUUAUCUUUUU
rnacentral:pre_miRNA from 1 species